GGGCCCGCACAAGCGGUGGAGCAUGUGGUUUAAUUCGAUGCAACGCGAAGAACCUUACCAGGACUUGACAUACUACAAAUUCUUUUGAGAAAAAGAAGUGCCUUCGGGAAUGUAGAUACAGGUGGUGCAUGGCUGUCGUCAGCUCGUGUCGUGAGAUGUUGGGUUAAGUCCCGCAACGAGCGCAACCCUUAUUUUUAGUUACCAAUUCGUUGGGUUCUCUAGAAAGACUGCCGGUGACAAACCGGAGGAAGGUGAGGAUGACGUCAAGUCAGCAUGCCCCUUAUGUCCUGGGCUACACACGUGCUACAAUGGUUAAGACAAAGAGUCGCGAGCUCGUAAGAGUCAGCUAAUCUCAUAAACUUAGCCCAAGUUCAGAUUGUAGGCUGCAACUCGCCUACAUGAAGUUGGAAUCGCUAG
rnacentral:rRNA from 1 species